rnacentral:ncRNA from 1 species
GUCAAAAUAAGAGUUUAUCGACUAUGCCUACGUAAGUAGGAACUGUCAGGGAUAGUAA